CUAUUUUUUCUCUAUACCACGUCGUAUCCCUUAUACAUUAAGAAUUAAACUUUCUAAAAAUUACUCAUCUCAUCCUUAUCUCUUAAAAACAACCACCACAUCUCAUCUUAAUUACUCAUAAUGAAAAAACACCAGAACGUGAUAAACCCUAAUGAUAUCCCAAAAAUUUCUCCUUGAUUUCCUAUCGCUCUCAAUUUGCACAUGAUUUCUCAUCGUCAAUAUAUUGUAGAGAGAGAAGACCAUUUCCCGAGUGGUGCAUCUGGUGAUUUCCAGCCAACAGCCAAGAUCGACCCUUCAAUCACUUUUGUCUUGGUUCAUCGAUCAAACUGUCAGAGACACCGUUCGAUUACUCUUUAUUUCUCUCGAUGUUGAUCAUUUGGGAAGUGUUACUAACAGUACAAUCACGCGAUCCACCACAAUAGAGUCACUAUUUUAAGUUUCUGUUAUCUCUUCUAUUAUAUAUUAUAUUUGUACCACCUGGUAAAGACACUAACGUUGUUCUUUUUACUUCUUUUUUUUUUUUUUACUUUUGUAGGCUUGAUUAUUCUUAAAUUAGCUGAGGCUUUUUACUGAUCUCUAGUAAGAAAGUCUAAAGUUGGGUUAUAUCGUUGCCAUUUCUAUUACCUUUUGUUUGAAACAUAAUUUGUUUACUUUCUUCAUAGUUGGAUUAGUUCUGUUCUUUUAUUGUUUAUUCAUAUUUGUAACUUUUUUUUUUAUAUUAAUAAUGAUGCAUUUUACUUAGAUUUAGAACUUUUAAAUACCGUAUUGCAUAUCAUAAAAUCUUUCAUUUUGUCAUAGUAAUUAUUUGCCUUAAUUCACAUUUAUGACAUUCACAAACAUAUUUGGUUAGCAAAAGUAGCCCUAGUAAACGAAGUUGGGCUGAAUUGUACGCUAUUAUUUGGUUUCACACUUUAGUAAAAUGAAGUCAGUGUAUGUGUAAUAAGAGACUGAUGUAUUGUUGGGCUCAACCAAUCUAAAUUCAAGAGAAAGUGAAGGAGGCAAUACUUUUUUUUAUUGCAAAUACUGGGCAGCCUUCCCUUUCACCCCCAAAAUUAAUCCCCUUUCACCCCCAAAAUUAAUCUAGUUAGAGUUAUAGAAUGAUAAAUUCUUUAAAUCAAGACAAAUAUUUUAGGACUUUGAAUACUUUCUUGUAGUUUCUUAUUUUUUAAUAGUGAACUUAUUGUUUUUGGGAUGAUGCAUUAAUAUUUAUUCUUCCUCUUUUUCUCUCAAUUUUUUUGAAAACUCUCUUGUUUGACAUUGGAUAUGGUUUUUGGAAGGCUACUUUAUGGUAAGUAAUUAGAUCUCUCUUAGAUUCAAUUCAAUUUUUAUAAUUUUUUUUUAUCAAUAUUUAUUAUUAGGGAAACACUUCAUUUUGCAGGUAAUUCAGCUUGUUAAGAGAAUUGUUUCUUAAUUUGUUGGAGUGUUCUAUGGGGCGAUUGAUUGGGAAUGACAUGAAGAAAACGAAGUACUCAGGGAAACGACGAACUAAAGAGAUGAGAACUUUGAAGUGCUACCAUAGAUGGAGAUCGAGUUUGGAGUUUGUUUUUAUGUUAUAGUUCUGUCAUUUGUAUUAGAAAAUUGGAAAUUUAGUUUAAAUUUUGUUUUAGAAUUGAACAAAUGUAGAAAUUUAUUCAAAUUUAUGUUAAGUUUAUAUUUGAACAUAGAAUUAUUAUGUAUUUCAUAAUAAAAUAUAAUGCUAUGUUUAACUUUGUGUUGCUAUAUGGAGUUUGAAAUGUGUGCAGUUGAAUUUGUGCUACUAUUUAGACUUUUUUUUAAUAUUAGCAACAA